GGUUCAAGUCCCUCUAUCCCCAAAAACUUUUUUCACUCCUUAA
rnacentral:tRNA from 3 species